AAGGGGAAUAACAUUUGAAAUGUAAAUAAAUAAAAUAUCCAGUAAAUAAAUAAAAGGAAAAGAAGAAACCAAGUUCCAUUUUCAUACACGUUUAUGUAGCUGUCCUGUUAUAGCUAAUGAAUCAUGGACACAUGGACACGUUUCUUUGAAUGCAUUUUUUUGUUUAAAAUACUGUAUGGGCUUGUGUGUGUAGUUAGAUGGUUUGGUGGGCUGGUUCUCUCACACUAUGUGGGUCACAGAUCCAGCUCAGGGUGGGGAUCAGUCUCUGACUUGUCAAUUUUAGCAUCAAGUGGCUUUAUCCAGUCCAUCUCUCUGGCUCCUGAGUGUAUUUUUCGAUAAGAACUGAUCAAGUAAAGGCCUCAAGUUACUAGGGUAGAUCCAUUGUUUGAGAAAGAAACAGGCGGUAAUGCUGACUCCUUGUUGGAAAGUUUGCACUCACAGAGAUUUCUGCUUUGUUUAUGGUGCCUUGAAUUGCACCCAGGUUCCCACCCUCCGUCCAGUUCCAGUGCUUAAGGUGCUAGCCUAAGUCUGUACUGAAUCCUUCGCCCACAGCCCAGGGUCUGGCCUUUGGGUAUAUGAACUACACGCUCACGGAGCUGCCCCGUUCCCUCUGUCCUAGUUGGUUUUUUGUUUUUGUUUUAUUUGUGUAUGCGUGGGAGGUGGAUACACAGAGCGUCACUUUAUAAUUUAAGCCUAAACUGACUUGAAACUUGCUGCAACCCUCCUUCCCCAGUGUCAGAGCUGGGAUUGCAGGGGUGAGUACGCCAUUCUUGGCAGGAUUGUCCCACCUUCAGAGGAAAGGGGCCACUAGGGAACCUAGGUUAAUUCAGGUUUUCAUAAGGAAUAAUUUGUCUGAUUCAGUGGCUGGAAAGGAAUCAAGUCCUUAAAAAUGCUUUACAACAUACUAAGGUCUCUGUAUUUUGAGCUGCAGAGUUUAAAACAAAUAUUUCCAUGUGGCAACUUUGGCCGUAGAAAAAUAUCUGUAUUGAAAAUCUGGUUUGACAUUAGGUGGAGGGAGGGGAGUCUUUCAGAAGAGGGUGAGGAAGAGGUAAGAGCCGAGGGGUCAAAGACACCAAAAGAAAAUGGUUCAUGGAAUUCAUGGAAUCAAACAACCAUGGAUCCUAGGGCAUCCCAGAAACUGGGCUACCUACCAGGGAGCCUGUAAGGGGCUGACUUAGGUCCUCUGGGUAUUCGUUAUGGUUGUGUAGCUUGGUGUUCUUGUGAGAUUCCUAACAGUGGGAGUGAGGGUGUCUCUGACUCUUUGCCUGCUUUGGGGUCCCCUUUUCUCUUCCUGGAUUGUCUCGUCCAGUCUCAGUAUGAGGGCAUGUUCAUUCUCUUACUGCUACUUGAUGUGCCCUGUCUGGGUGUUAUCUCUAGGAGGAAGGAGGAGGAGGAGGAGAUCUGUGGAGAGGAGAGAGGGUGACUGCAGCAGGGAUCUAAUGUGUAAGAAAGAAAUUCCAAGAGGAAUUUUUAAAAUUCAAAAGAAAAAAGGAAAGACAGACAGACAGACAAACCUGGUUUGAGCAAUAUGAAUGUACACAGAAGGAAGCUGAAAGAGGCCCACUUUCCUCUUCAGAUCAUCAUUUGUUGCUUGCUACUUUGAUCUGGUGCUCCUUAGAAAAAGCUGUGUAAUUGCUGCUUGUCUUUUGAUGUAGUUGUAUCCUGAAAAAACCCUUUGUAAGUAAGAAAAAGCUCUACCUAGUAUUUGCCUGCUAGGUACCAUAAGAGCAAGCUGUAGAAUGUCAGUUGUUUACCUCCCGUGAGUCAGCCUGCUGGGGAUUGCUUGUCAUCUGCACCAUGUAUCACAGAUUUUAAAGUGUACUUUUUCUGGAUGCAGCACUGUAAUAUUUAGAAAUGGUAAAUCAGUCAUUGUAAGUUGGAGAGCAACCUUAUGUGGUGAGAAAGAACUAUUGAUUGUUUAUUUUGUUUUAUAGGCUGCUAUGAAAAAGACUCUUAUACCAGAAAAACAUAACUGUUAUACUCUGCUACUGUAUUUUAUCAUAAAAUAGUUUGUUUUUGGAGAGGUUUUUCUCACUUGAGACUUUGGGUCACUUUUUUUUUUCUUCUUUUUUUGCUAGUUACCUACAGAGGUCCUCCUAAUUAAAGAAUUUGACAAUAUAUUGGAUUCUAUCAAAUGGAGCCCCUUUCCUAUCCUUGAGUCUUUGGCCUAGAUUAUCUGGGAUGUAAGAGCAGACACUGAAAUCAUCCCCAGCUCUGCCAUUUGAAGUUGUACAUGGGAUGCUGUAGGUGGUGGUGCCCUGGAGUCACAGUGAGUGCUCACCCUGCAUGAAGGGCCAGGCUCGCCCAGGAUCAGCACCCUGCAGAGCACUCAGCCAGCCAUGGUGCUAUACCAAGUGUCAGAUUCACAUGCAUGAGUGGAUAGCAUUGGGCUGACCAGGAUGUGGUGGCCAGCUAGAUAUCGAAGAUCUCGGAUGAUGGCUAACUGACUUCUGAAGUCGUGAGUCUCUUCUGGGGCUCAGCUCUGGAAAACCUGGUGCAAUGGAAAGGGGUCUUUUUUAUGUUGGAAAGGGGCUGUAUAAAGUUUCUUCCCAUCUCAACCCCUUCCCUCCCUCCCUCCCUCCCUCCCUCCCUCCCUCCCUCCCUCCCUCCUUUCUUUCUUUCUUUCUUUCUUUCUUUCUUUUUACCAAAAACAUAUGGUUGGUAGCUAGCGCCAGGAAGGCUGAGCUGCAAGGAUGGAAAAUUCGAGACCAGCUUGUAAACCCUGCCUCCUAAAGGUUGAGAGGAAGGAGUAAUACAUAUGUGCUCAACAGGCUUUAAGGCUAAAUGUAUUUUGGAGUCUCUUCUAUAAGUAUUCUUUACAUACACACGCACACACAUGCACACAGUCUCUCUCACACAAACACUCACUUAAAUGAAUAAGUUUAAGAGGAAGCAGUAGUCUAAAUGUGCAGCUCCAGCUAGAGAGUGCAGAUUGGUUUGGUUGGAUGCUGAAGAGCAGUAACAAUGGAGGAUGUAGAAAUACCAUCUGAAUUAUACAGCGGAUGGCAGAACUGUGUGUGCAUCAGCUGCGUUAGCUGUGCAUGGAAGUCAGGGUGGGUUUGCACAGCUAUUCCUGUGCUGGUUGACUCUUCACUAUUUGUCUCACAGUUGCAAACUUCUAAGUGAUCUAAAAGCAAAGAUUAGAAAACUCUGGGUCAUAUUUUAAUGAUGUAUUCUUUCAUUUUUAAUUAUGUGUAUGUAUGUAUGUAUGUAUGUGCUUUUGCCCCCAGCCCAUGCUGUGCUGCAGAUCGGUGCCAUAAGUGCCUGUACUGUAGCAGCCACUCGCACACAGCCCAGCACCUCCAGAAUAUUAAGUUUCCUUUCCAUUGCUAACGUCAUAAAGCUUUGAUUUAAAAAUGAGGACCUUUCCUUUCCAUCAGACAUGCUUUCCAUUGCUUCUUUGUGUUGUUCUGUCCCUAAUGUUCUUUCACUCUGUGAUUCCAACAGUUCCCGCUGUAGCUGGGUUGCUCCUGAGGGUUAAGCUUCAGGAAUCGCUCCAGCUCUUGUCUUCUUUUGUAGUUACCUCCUGACAGGUGGAGGAGGCUCUGCUCUUGGACUCUCACCACUCUCACUCCUGCCAGGCACGUCCUGACAUUUCCUGGCUGACUCGCUUGCUUCUUACAGGUCGCUCAUUACUUCUCACUGGAGGCUGGCAAUUUCUCUGAGAAUAUCUGAGUCUCUGUGGGCCUUUCCCGGAGAACACUCUCUACUUUGUACCUUAUAGUUAUUUAUAUAUUUGCAUAUUUAGUUUUGCAGAAUAGCUACCUGCUGCCCUCUUCUGGCUUCAUAUUAGUUUGACCUUAAGUAAAUUUUAAUUAUUGUCUUGGAGAGACCCAUGGUUUCCCAAAACUGACUUGAUUGAGAAAAAUCACUUAGGUGAAUUUUUCUUUUAAAUUUGCAGUACAUGGUUUUCCAUUUUUAGAGAUUCUAUUUAAUUAAGUAUGGGGGGAGGGGGGUGGUUAUUGGUAGAGUAACAAAAACAACACUUGGUGUUAAAAGUCUCCAGCCAGUUAUUAAAAUCUGACUGUAAGAUAAGGAGGUAGUCCUUAGACACCUGGAGAUGUAGUCCUCACACUUUAAAAUGUCACAGGUAAAGAAAUAGACAAGGAAUAUAGGACUUUACCUUCGUCAGAAAAAAAGAAAAACAAAAACAAAAAGAAAAAAUGAAUUUGGCAGAAAAAAAGGCCUGCUCCUGCCUGUGUUGGUUUGGUAAUUUUACUCUAGUGACAGUCUUGGGAACUCUCAGCAAUAUUUAUAGCAGCCAGGACUAAGGGACUUUGACACAGCAGCCAGGACUAAGGGAAGUUGACACUAAUUUUAUGGAAUCUUAACCCACUAUGUUUUGUUUUUUGAAAUGCAAAGACAAACAGAACAAAAACAAAACAAAAGCCCUCUGAUGCUAACAGCUUCUGGGGCUGUUCUCCAGCAAACUGGAGUUUGGGAGCACAGGCCCCAGGUCCAGCAGCCCAGCCACCCUCCAAAUACACCCGCUGAAAGGAUGAGCGGAGCUGAAAGGUAGAGGACAGAGAUCUAACAUGUUAGGAGGAACAAAUGAAGGGCCCAGGGCCCCUUGUCGAAUCACUGGGUACCAACAUGAGCUUUGCAUUCCUAUAGAGAGGAGUUUUGGGGACACAUUUGCAUACUCAAGCACUUGUGGCUGGGCUACGGGCUGGUUGAUUAUUAGUUCUGAUUCUGCAGGAUGCCCAAAGAGGUCUGUACAACUGACUGUCAGCAUGGCAAGAUCAGACUGGUUCCUACAAGGCGCUCGCUUCUGCUCUCUUGUCCUUAGUGGUAUUUGUCUCCACGUUGGAGAGUCUGUCCUUGGAGGAUAUGGUAUUCUCGGGAUCCAGGUCUUGUGCUGUACCUUCAGCCUUGGAAGGGGAUGAGAUAAGUUGGUAGACACUCCUUGAGAGAUGCUCUUGCCUGUGCAGAGUGAAGUAGGAGUUCCAUCCAGAGGCAAGGACCUAACAAAACAGUCAUGCUAGGCUUCAUUGCCUUUUAAAAAGUCUACUUGGUGACUCAAAUGAGAAGUCAGUGUUUUUGUUUUUUUUUUUUUAAAGAAACCCUGAUGAAAACAUACACAAACAUAACAGACAGAAAAACAGAUUCUGCGUGUGUUUCUGUUUUGAAGUUCUGGCUCAGAGAUAAUGGUGUUUAUAUGGCUUGGGAUUCUUUGUUUCUCUUUACCUUUGGUUCACUAACUGUAAUUCUCCAAUCUGAAGCAUAUGGAUCUUCUAAACUCGUCUAUGUCUGUAGACUGUUUAAAUGCCUUUGAUCUGCUAUAUGCUUUAAAAUAGAUAAAUUCACAUCUUGUGUGUAUAAUGUAAAACGUCUGUGUUGGCAGUCAUGUGGUCAGGGCUGAUGCUGCUUCUUGGUGUAGAAAGCUGCUGGACAUGUAUGGCUCCCUGGGUUUCCUCUCAGCACCACAAGCAUGAAGGGUCAUGUUUUUUGGAAAAUUAAUUGCAACCCUGUUGAACUCAUUUCAUUCCCUUUUAUUUGCAUGAAGGAUAUAAAGGUAUUAUCCAGUUGAACAGUUUAUAAAUUAAUGUUUAUAAACUGAAGGAAUGUAAUAAUUUUUUUCUCUUAAACUUUGGUACUAAUUGCAUUUAAAGUUGUUCCAAAUAUGUGGUGUUUAGAUAUAUACAUUUUCCUUAGGAAACUACUCCUGCUUCUCUCUCAUCUUAAGCCAUCUUCUCCCUGCUAUUCUUCCUCCCUCUGAGAUUAUUUCCUUAAUGUUGUUAAUACAGACCUCUCUCCCCACCUCCCACCCCUGCCCUGCCUGUUUAGCCUGUCCUACUCCAGAGGCAGAGCGAACAGUGGUUAGCUGCUUCUGAUGCAGACAAGGCUGGGCGAGGCCAAGGUGGGCAUUGGAGUAACUGGGGUUCUUGACAUUUUCCUUUCCUUUUUGUCCCCUUUUUGUUCCUGAAGCCCGUUCUUGUAUGUGCUGUUCAGAUGUUCUUCCACUGAGCCCCGCCCCAUGGAAGAUAACAUUUGGUUUCACACUGAAUCUAGUAUUCUUUGAUUCCUGAACUACUCUGAAGUAUCUUGUCAGGGUUGCCAGGCAUUUUACUUAAAAAUUUAUUUGUAAAUGACAUCCCUCUGAGGGGUCUUGCUUGCCCUGUGCCCAUCUGGCUGUCUUUGGGCGUGAGCCAUUUCACCUGCUUGUUUCCUAUGCAGAUUGUGUGGUUUGAGGCCGCAGGGCUUGGGGACCUGGAACUGGGCUGUUGGGAAUUGGUUCUAAUGCUUUUGUCUUACUUUGGCUCCCAAAAGCUAAGCUUCCAGACCUGAGGGUCCCUGCCCCCAGCUGGCUUCAAUUGGUUAUAAAGAAUUGCUGUACAGCCAAUGGCUGGGCAGGGAGAUGGAGUAGGACUUUGAAAUUGUGCGGGCAAGGGACUGGGAGAUGGGAGGAAGAGGAGAAUCGCCAUGACUUGAAGGGAGAGUGGUCAGAUUUAAGAGCUGCAGGAGAAAAAUCAUCCAUCAAUGUAGGUGGAAAGGGAAAGUGACCCUAUUUGGAGCAGGGUGGGUGCCCAGAAGAUAACAGGGUGGCAAAGAUAAAAUAUAGAUUUAGAAGAUGUUAUGCCAGGAAUACUGGAGGGGUGUGUGUGUUAGCUGCAGAGAAGUUAGAAGUGUCCAGCCAUUGAGCUACUCAAGGCAUAUCAAAAUUGGCUGGUGAGUGAGAGAGAGAGAGAGAGAGAGAGAGAGAGAGAGAGAGAGAGUGUGUGUGUGAGUGUGUGUGUGUGUGUUUCAUUUGUGAAUCCAGAGCUCUUGGGCGGGCGCAGUGUGUGGAACCGGCUAGGAGCCAAAGCAGAUUAACUAAUUUGCCUGCGCACUUGGCUGUGUGUCUUUCAUCUCCUGACCCAGCCUCUGACUUCUGCAGAUGAUACCUGUUCAUUGUUCCUCUCGUGCACAGUCAGCUAGCACCUGGUCCAGAGGACACGAGAGCCUAGCAGUAUAGCGCAAGUUAUGCUAUACAUAUUACUAUACAUAGACAGUACAUACUACCUACCAUGCAUAGGAGUCAGAUCACAGUUCUCCCAUUCCCACAGACUUACAAUAAGGUUCUUUUUCAUUUAAUUUCUAAAAUUAAGGAAAUAAAAUUUCUUUCCUUAUAAACUUAUCUUGCAGUCCUAGUGCUUACAAGCUAUUGAGCAUCCAGAAGUCACUGAUGCGGCACUUGGAAUGGUGGUGGUGCAAGCAUCCGAGCGGGAGGUUACUUUUAACCAGCACUCUGUACUCACACAUUACACCUAGCAUCUCAGUAUGAUAAAUAACACCGAGAUAAAGACCUGCUUACAUAAAUGCUUGUGUCUCUUCCAUCAGUAGGCAUGGUAUUAGUUAUUCAAGUGUGUUUCAAAAGUUAGAGCUGGCAUGAAGGACUUUAGAGCUGUCUGCCUUUGGGUUGUCUCGUUAGUUUGUGGCCUUCUCCAGGGAUGAGGGAUUGUCUGAGAAAUGCCAAGGCAAUGUCCUUAUGGAAUGUAAUGAAGAAAAUAAACUCUUUCCUCAUCUACUAGCUAAAAACUCUUAGCCUUCCAACACAGUUACAAACUUUAAGUAUUUUUAUGUCGAUAUUUACAACCUAACAGGUUUGUCUAACCUAACAGAUAGAACACAAAGGUAGUAAGCAACUUUAGUAAUUUACCCUUAUGUUGUAUAACUAAGCAAUAUAAGGUGAACGGCCUUUGAUGGCAAUUUGCUUUCUGAAGUCCUGAGUAUACAGUGGUGCCAUAGAACAUCCUGAGUAUACAGUGGUGCCAUUGAACAUCCUGAGUAUACAGUGGUGCCAUGGAGCAUCCUGAGUAUACAGUGGUGCUGUGGAACAUCCUGAGUAUACAGUGGUGCCAUGGAGCAUCCUGAGUAUACAGUGGUGCCAUUGAACAUCCUGAGUAUAUAGUGGUGCCAUAGAACAUCCUGAGUAUACAGUGGUGCCAUAGAACAUCCUGAGUAUACAGUGGUGCUGUGGAACAUCCUGAGUAUACAGUGGUACACUGAAGACAGUUUUCCCAUAGAUUACCUCCUAAAAGUCCCUUCUUAAAAACCAUUUAAGUUUUUACUUCUUAGUUUUAUAAGUCAUUGCUAGGUUUUUGCAUCCUCACCUAGGUGGUCUUUUAAGGAACAAAAUGCCUUUCCUAAGAAAGCAUCCUGUUUUCUUCCCAAGGAAAGCUAUUCUGUGCCUCUGUCUUCUCCACUUUCCUGAGCUGUAUGUAUAUGAAAUGCGGCACAGCUCUUCUCAGGGCGGGCCAGAGAAUCCUUCUCAUUUAAAUGUUGGAAUAACCUAGUGGUUUCUAAGGGCUAGACUUUUGUAGUAAUAUAUGUUAAGUCAGGUAUUACAAGUAUACAUUAAUAUUUUUGAAAUUUAGAAUUAUUAUUUGAAACAGAGUAGUUAACUUAAAAAUUUAUAAAAAAACAACUUGAUAAAUUAUUCUCUACUUAAUUGGCUUUUUAAUUUAAUAGUUAAUCAGAUUAAAUUUAUUUACUGACAGUUCUUUUAAUUAAAAGUGCUUUAAAUCAUAGGUAAAAAGACAGUUUCAACAUUUUCUAACAGAAUGAUUAAAUCUUGUUUAGGUUAUUCUAUCAGUACACAUUUUACAAUUAAUGUCUUAAUGCAAAUAAACAUGAUUAAAACAGUUUCCUAUGUCAGCAAUUUAAUGAUAAUGAGAAGAGCUGGAAAUAAAUACAUGUUGGUUGUGAAUCAAAAUGCUAAAUGAACCCAUCUAUACAAACAAAUCAUUUUAAGCCUGAUUAUUUUUUUGGUCUACUAUGGGUGGCAUCAGCCUGUUACUUUUGGAAAAAAAGAAAAUUACACAAGUAAAUUAAGACAUGGCACAAAUAUACAAAUUUGGAAGCCUUUGCAGUAUUCAUAAAAGCUCCUUUAUGCACUAGAAUAAUAUGUAUAUUAAACAUUUUAAUAUUUACACACAAAUAGAUGUUAGUUAGCACCAUUAAUUUUUUUCCCUCAGCAAAGCUCCCAUAAAUAGCUUCACCUAAUGCUGGCUCAGCUGAUUGAUCCUCGCAUGGACACGUGUGGGAGGCAGGGCCAGUGAGAGCUUCUCACCAGGACUUUAUUAACUAGGUUUUCAAGUCUGUUCCAUCAGACGCAUUUACUAAUGGUCAGUCGUAUAUUAGUCACUAUUCUAGUUCUUGUGGACGUGGGCAGGAAAUGGAGUUGAACACCUACUCUUUUGAAACCAGCUCAAUGGUAGCAAGGUGUGGGAACAGUGGCCACUGAGAUACAAGGCCCAGAAAUAUGGAAUGGAGAGCUUUUAGAACUCGGGGCACAUACUAAUUAUCUCUAGGCAUGAAACAAAUUUACGAAGUUAAAAAGUAAGCAUUGAUAAGAUGUGGUCAACUUUCUGGAGAAAAUGGAAGGGAAUGUGUACUGGCUAGUUUUGUGUCAACUUGACACAGCUGGAGUUAUCAUGGAGGAAGGAGCUUCAGUUGAGGAAAUGCCUCCAUGAGAUCCAACUGUAAGGCAUUUUCUCAAUUAGUGAGCAAGGGAGAAAGGGCCCUUGUGGGUGGGACCAUCUCAGGGCUGGUAGUCUUGGUUCUAUAAGAGAGCAGGCUGGGUAAGCCAGGGGAAGCAAGCCAGUAAGGAACAUCCCUCCAUGGCCUCUGCAUCAGCUCCUGCUUCCUGACCUGCUUGAGUUCCAGUCCUGACUUCCCUGGUGUUGAACAGCACUAUGGAAGUGUAAGCCAAAUAAACCCUUUCCUCCCCAACUUGCUUCUUGGUCAUGAUGUUUGUGCAGGAAUAGAAACCCUGACUAAGACAGAAUGAGAAUUGUUGGCAGAGAUGAAGAAGACUGUCUGAACCACGAAGCUGUGUGAUUGGGAUCAGGAGUGGGGUUUACAGUGGACUCAUCUUAGGUCAUGUGUCAAUGCCUAGACCUAACUAGAUGUGUGGCUGUAAAGAUGGAGGAUUUGAAUGUAUGGUUUUUCUUUGCAAUUCCAAUCUUACAGUAGAGGAAUGAACUGUUCAUAGCAGAAAGUUUUUCUCUGGCCUGACAAAAUAACAAAAAUUAAAUCAUACAGAGUUUUGUUUUGGGAUUGGUUUACAUGUGUUCAUUAUUGAAAAAUUAUUGCGUUUGAGAGUCAGAAAAUAUUCAAAGAUGACUAUCCACUUUCUAAAGAAGAACCAGUGUUAGUUAUUACUUUAUUCCAAAAUGUAGAUGAGGAAGAGAGUCUUCCAAAUACUUUCUGCUGGGUCAGAUUUACUUAUUCCCAGGCGAGGACACAUGUAGGCACAAAAAGGCCAGCGUGUCAGAAAAUCUUGGGAAAAUGAAAAUAUCUGUAAAAUGCUUUUAUCUACAGUAUAGAAAGAACCACUAAGAAUCCACAAUAAGAGGCAAGCAUGGUGGCACAUACAGCUUAUACAAGCACUCAGAAAGAAGUCAGGGGUUCAAAUACAGCUGAGUGGUGUGGUGAAACCUUAUCUCAGAACAAACAAAGCCUCAGUGAUAAGAAAACAAACAAUCCCAUAAAAAACAAGCAAACCACCCAAAGAAGCAGUUCACCUAAGAGGUCACACAGAUGCUGGCAGGAGUGGUCAUUAGAGAACACGAAAUUCAAACCCUACUCUACUGGUUAGACUGCCUGAAUCUCCUGAUGCUGACCUGGGCAUGAAGCGGUAAGUAUUCUUCAUUGCUUUUGUGAAGUAGACACCUGCACGUCUGUGUCCACCUCUGGGGAAUGGGAACAGCAUGUGGCCAUGGUUGAUGAAGUUGUGGUACACUCGGAAUAGAGUACUGUUGAGCAGUGAGAAUGAAAUGGUCAUUACAGCAAUGUGAACAGAACCAGAGAGAGAGGUGUUAAGUGAAUAGACCAGACUCGGCAAGACGGCACUUAGUGCUCACAUUGGAGAAUCUGAAAGGGUGGCUUUGUAAAAGUUGAGACUAGAAUGAUAAUCCUACACUGAAUUACCUACACUGCAAUGUCUAUUAAUGUUUUUGUGACUGACAGAAUAUUCCACUGCAGCAGCUUAGAGUGGAGGCUCUGUUUCCUGAGUUCAUAUUCCUUAGAAAAGGAGGCUCCAUUCCCUGAGUUCAUGUCAUUACACAGAUGUGAAAUGAGCAAGACCCAGACUCUGCUUCUGAGGGAGAACAGUGCACUUGCCCUUCUGUGCAGGGCUGCUUUGGUUUAACCCAGCAAUAGCAUGCAGAAGGCCUGACUGGAAAUCCUAACCCGGCCUCCUUCAGGUCUUUGAAGUUGUGCAGAUUGCUUGACUUCACUGAGCCCCAAAUUACCAUGAAUACAUACGGUCACCCUUCACAAGAUUAGGGAAACUCUGGUCUGUAGUGACAUCACAUUGUUGGUUGCCUGGAUCUGAGGGGAGCCUGCUUGGGAUGCUAAUUUAAAAGGACUUUUCUGAGAUUAAGAAGAUACCAUGGUUUAAGUCUGGAGAAAGGGCUCACUCAGUGAGUAAAGCAUUGAAGACCAGAGUUCCAGUCCCCAGAGCCCAUGUAACAUCCAGGACAGUGGCAGCCUGCCUGAAUCCCAGCACACUGGGACCCAGUCCCCAGAACGUUACCAGCCAGAAUGAGCUAGUCCUAAUGAUGGUGGGCUCCUGGUUCCAGGAGAGACCAUGUCUCCAUGUAUGAGAUGGAGAGUGAGCUGUCCUCCACAUGCGUCCACACAUACUGCAUGUGCCCACACACUUGCAAAGAGACACAUGCAUCCAAAACAAAAAAAAAAAAAAAAAACCCAAACCACUAAAAAAACUGCCUAUGUUAGAUAUUCUGUCAAACUCUUUCUGUACACUUUUUAUCAUGUAUACAUUAUACCUCAACCUGGGUAGAUUUUAAAGCCAGCAUGCUUGUCCUUGAACCUUGUUUUCUUUCAUUUAUGUUCCCAAAAUGUGAAUCUUGGAGUGAAGUAGCUAGAGAUUAGAGUUAAGCUCUGUCCCGUUGGCUUUCUUGCAUAUUUAUGUAACUCUCCGCUUAGUUCAUCCUCUUGUUUCUCAGGACUUUAGGGGAGAAGUGACUUUCACUUGUGCACCAUUUUGAAAUCAUCUUACUUCCCAUGUGAUUUGAGAGUCAGUCACACUGUGGAACUGAGAGCAGUGUUUUCCAGUUUCAGGUUUGUUUUUAAAAAGGGUUUCCUAUCUUGAUGUUAGACAGAGAAGGAUGCUAUAACUUAUAGUUAUCAGAAUACUAACUGACUACAUAAAAAAGGGAAUGGCAGAAAAUAAAGCAGUGGAAGCACUGUGUUAAAUAGAAAUUCUGAAGCUUGGAGGGGCCUGAUGCCAGUGAUGUUGAGACUGAGUUCAAGGGCAUUCUGGGCUAUGUAGUACAGGCUCUCAAAGAGAAUAGUAAUAGUAAUAAUGAUAAUGACAUUAAUAAUAGUAACAGCAACAACAAUAAUAAUACAUCCGAGUCAUGGGUAAGCUGGUCAGUUAGAUUCUUUAAAGCCAAGGGCAGAGCUUUUCACACACACUAGCUCCUUUUUAAUAAAAAUGUUUAUGACCUCAAGGUAAUCUUCAGCUGUGCCAAAUAAAUUAUAAAUGUGUGCUUUAACGUGAAUCUGAGGGAAUUUCUUGUUAAGGAAUUGCUUAUUCUAUACCUUUUCCAAAUAAUGCUUUUUGUUUUAGGUUUAUGAGUUUUGCCUGUAUGUGUGCAUAUGUGCCACAUACAUGUCUGAUGCCUGUGGAGGUCUGAAGAGGGUAUUGGAUCACCUACUGGACUUAAACAUAGUUGUUAACCAUUAUGUGUUGGGGAGGGGACUGAACCUAGGUCUUAAGCAAGAGCAACAAUUGCUUUUAACUCGAAGUUACUUUUCUAGCCCCUUAUAUUUCAGUGUGUGUGUGUGUGUGUGCAAACUGGAGUAGAGUUUUCUGAGACCACUGGCUUCAGCUAGUUGUGGAUAGCAUCAAUUCUUCUUGAUUAAAAGCAGACAUGAUAAAGCAAGAACAUUUUAAAGAAGAAAAGUAUGAGCUAAGUGAGCAGUACUCUUACUAAACCAGAUGAGUAGCGUAUCCAAAUUAUAUGCUGGGAGAAGGCUCAUUCCAUUACCUAGACAGUAUGUGCCUACAGAUGAAUUGAUCCUGUUCUUAUAAAAUUGUGUUUUGUUUUGUUUUGUUUUGUUUUGUUUUUUAAGUAACAUGCUUAGCGUGUCUCUGCUGUUCUCUUGACCCCCCCAGCCCUCAUCCUCUUGGAAACUCUAUGGUAAUAAUCUGGUUGCUAUCCCUCCUCAGUUUUUCUGCUUUUGUUGGAGGCAGGUUCCAUUUGUGUAGCUCAGGCUGGUCUCACAUGUUGCAGUAUAUCUCUGUCUUGGCCUUCAUUGCUGGAAUUAUAGGGAUGAGCCAGCCUGCUAGGUCUAAGUGAUUUUGAAGACAUUUAAUUCAUAUUUACUUUAAAGCUUUUUAUGUGUGUGUUUAUUGAUUUUGCUUAUGUGGGUACUGUGUAUGCACACACAGGUGUAUGCACCCGCAGAGGCUAGAGAGGGGUUGGAUCCCCUGGAGCUGGAUUUACAGGUCGUAUGCCACCUGAUUUAGAAACCAGACUUGAGUCUUCUGCAGGAGCAUCAACUCCUAACUAUGGAGCCAGCUCUUCUCAGACUCCUAACUAAGGUGGAUUCAUAAUAAGCACCAUCACCUGAGCAAGCAUUCAGUCAAAGGAAAUGAAGUUGUGACAUCUGCAGGAGUGUUCACAAUAGCCAAGGUGUGGAGUCAACCAGAGUGUCCAUCACCCGGUGAGUGGAGUUUUAACAUAGCAUGUAACACAGUGGCAUGUUACUCAGCCAUAAAAAUGGGAUAAUCCUUCAAUGCCUGGGAGAGUGGAGCUUCAAGAUCCUGUAUUCAAUUAAACAAGCCACACACUGGACAGCAAAUGCCACAAAGCAGCAGUCAUUAGUGGGAAGAAACUACAGGCUCCAUUCAUAGAGGGAAAGCAGAAAUCACUCCAGAAUGACACACUGGGGAAGUGGGUCGUGGGAAGGACCGAGAGAGGAGCAAACAGAUGGGAGAAACUGGUUCUCGGUAGACAGUUCCCAGCAGUCCCAGACACAGCUCAAACACAGAAGAGUACAAACCUUCCAGCACAUGGGAGCGCUGGAGGAGAGGACUGUCAUCUGUCCUAAUUGAUUAUCAUUCAUGUGUCCAGAUUCUGUUGUUAUCGUUAGUGAACUGCAUCAGUUAAAAAGAAGAGUAAAGAACCUUCAGUGUGCCUUUACUGGACACGUUUACUACAGAAGAUGAAUAGCAGGCACUAUCCUCCGCCUUGUUAGCUCUGAGCUCCGGCUUUGACAUGGCGUUGAUGAGAACUGUUCUUUUUCUAUCAGCCUCCUAGCAUCUGUGGCCAGGAGUCACAUUUGCUGCAUUUAAAUAGACUAGUGUCUAAAUUAUCAGAUAUAUUGUAGUUAAAUGUUGAGUAAAAUUUGUGGCUGUGGAAUUUCACAUGUUACCGGGUAUUUAAAUGGUGAAGAAUGUUUUAUUAUAGUUAAAUAGCAACUAUGUAGUUAGAAAUGCAUAUUAAUAUAAAUUGUUUAAACUGAUAGUAAUAGUGAAUAGCUGUUAUGAAAUAUAUGAGUUUAUCUUACUUCACUAAGAGAUGAAGUGUUUUCAUUAGAAAAUACUAAUUCUUAGGGGUUUGUACUUAAAAAUUUUAAAUGUAUUUACUUUUUUAAAAUUGUGACAAAAGAUUCAUAGCAAAAUUUACUAUUUUCAAUAAAGGCAGAUAUUGGUUUUAGUGAAGAAAAGAAAAUACACCUUUUAGUCCUUGACUCCCAGUCAGUCCUUCAUCCUACAUUACUUGUGGUGUAAUUCAUACUCUUGGGGUCUCUGAAGAGACAGUGAAUUAUUUCCCUUCCAUUCUUAAAGAAUUCGCUGGCUACAGCUCUGUGCUGAUACUUAUCUCGCUAAUGUGUUUGCAUAGUAACACAGUAAUAGCGUUCAGUGUUUAUAAAUCACUUCCCGUCUAGGUAGUGAAGCCACUGAGUAUUUCAUCCUAGUGAUGCAGAGUGGUAUGUACUUACUGCAUGCAUGUGGUAGUGUGUUACAUGGAACAUUGUCAUGUUAGUAUGUAAUGGACUCCUCUCAUACAGUUAGUUCUCUCCUUCUCUUUAUCUCCCCCCCCCCCCCCCCCGUCCAGUCCCCUUUGUUCUCCUAGUUUGGCGUCUACAUUUAUGUCAGAUGUACAUACAUAAUUUUCUGUAUCUUUAUUAUGUCUAGGAUUCGUAUAUGAGAGAGAGCAUGCAAUAUCUGUCUUUCUGAGACUGACUGAUGAUAUUCUUACUAUGUCAUUCCCCAUUUCUAUCCAUUCUCUUGCAAACAACAUUUUUUAUUGUUCUCUCUGGCUGAAUAAAAUUUCUGUGUAUAUAUGUGUGUACAUCAUACUUUCUUUAUCCAUUUCUUUGUUAAGUUUAUGUCUAUUCCUAGGCUGGUUCUAUAACUUAGCUAUGGUGAAUGUCAGCAGUAAACACUGACUGCUGUGUAAGUCUUUCUGUGACUUACUGACCUGAAGUCCAUUGGGUAAAUACCCAAGGUGCUACAGCUGAGUCCUAUGAUAGAUCUAAUUUUAGAUUUUGUUUGUUUGCUUGCUUGCUUUUGUAAAUCCAUACUGAUUUCCGUAUGGCUGGAUUAAGUUCUCUUUCUACUAGGAGUAUAUGAGGAUUUGUUCCCCUGGUUCCACAUGGUUUCCAGAGCUGUUAUUUCUUUUUCUUUUUUUCUUUUUUUUUUUUUUUUCGUGACUGGCCAUUCUGACUAGAGUAAGAUGGAAUCUCAACAUAGUUCUACUUUGCAUUUAACUGCUAGCUAGGACAUUUUUCUCAUGUGUAUUGUUCAUUUGCACUUCAUCGUUUGAGAGCUGUGUUCAGUGCAUUACCUACUGUUGACUGGUGACAUCGAGUCCUUUGACCCGGCAACCUUUACCACUUGUCUCCUCAGCAAGUAUCAUUGUGCCACUCAAGAACUCUCUACCUAUUGGCCAAACGCUCCCGCUCUUGGUACAGACUUAUAUUCUGUGUCUCUGUGGACCUAAGGUUUGCAGGUACUCUGUGGGGAGAAACCAACCAUGCAACACAUGGCCUUAACACUGGCACACCGUUUGCAGGUUUCAUUCAUGUUCUAGUGUGUAUCAGAAUUCUGACACUUUGGGCGGGGGGGGGGGGGGGGGGAUGAUUUGAGACAGCAUCUCACUUGGUAGCCCAGGAUGACCUGGACCUCAGGGCAUCCUCCAGCCUUAUCCUCCCAGGUGUUGGCAUUACAGGUGUAAGCCACUGCCUGGUAGAAGUUUAUUGUUUUAAUGCUGAGCACUGCUGGAUUGUGGGUCCAUGCUGUAUUUUGUUUACCAUUGUUCCAACAGCAGCAUUUCUAACCUCGUAAAGUGGAUAGAUUACAGACAAGAAUCAGCCUCAGGCCGGGCGUGGUGGCACACGCCUUUAAUCCCAGCCCUCGGGAGGCAGAGGCAGGAGGAUUUAUGAGUUCAAGGCCAGCCUGGUCUACAAAGUGAGUUCCAGGACAGCCAGGGCUACACAGAGAAACCCUGUCUUGAAAAAAAAAAAAACAAAAACAAAACAAAAAAAAACAACAAAAAAAAGAAUCAGCCUCAGAAGUCACCUCAUCGGUCCAGCCACCUCAGAUACAUGAGAUUAGGCAGUUAUUACAAGAAGAAUGUCAGACGAUGCCAGGAAAGCCUGGAGAUGAAUGUUUUAUUUAAAAUUAA